rnacentral:rRNA from 1 species
CUGCUCUGGGUAAGUCGGGGCUAAGGAGAGGCAGAGAUGCGUAUCCGAUGGACAGCAGGUUUAAGAUUCCUGCACCCCUUGUUAUCAGAACUGCGGGGACACGGGAAGGGAAGCAGAGCCGGGAAUGGAAAGCCCGGUGCAAGCGAAGUAGUCGCAGGGUUGGAAAAUCCGCCCUGCAUGAGACGAAGGCGUGAUGCGGAGCGAAAUGAAGUAGUGAAGCUGCGGCCCCUUCCUGUCGAGAAAAGCCGCUAUCGUGUAGCAAGGGCCCGUACCGUAAACCGACACAGGUGGAUGAGGAGAGGAUCCUAAGGCCGGCGGGAGAAGUGUUGUUAAGGAACUCGGCAAAAUGACUCCGUAACUUCGGGAGAAGGAGUGCUGCGCAAGCAGCCGCAGAGAAAUGGCCCAAGCAACUGUUUAGCAAAAACACAGGUCUAUGCGAAACCGAAAGGUGAGGUAUAUGGGCUGACGCCUGCCCGGUGCUGGAAGGUUAAGGGGAGAGCUUAGCGCAAGCGAAGGUUUGAACUUAAGCCCCAGUAAACGGCGGCCGUAACGAUAACGGUCCUAAGGUAGCGAAAUUCCUUGUCGGGUAAGUUCCGACCCGCACGAAAGGCGUAAUGAUUGGGGCACUGUCUCAACAACACACCCGGUGAAAUUGAAAUACCAGUGAAGAUGCUGGUUACCCGCGCCAGGACGGAAAGACCCCAUGGAGCUUUACUCCAGCCUGAUACUGGGAUUCGGUAUUGCAUGUACAGGAUAGGUGGGAGGCUAAGAACUUAUGGCGCCAGCCGUGAGGGAGCCGAUGUUGGGAUACCACCCCUGCAGUACUGGGUUUCUAACCUGCGCCCGUGACCCGGGCGGGGGACAAUGUCAGGCGGGGAGUUUGACUGGGGCGGUCGCCUCCGAAAGGGUAUCGGAGGCGCUCAAAGGUCUCCUCAGGAUGGUUGGAAACCAUCCAGAGAGUGCAAAGGCAGAAGGAGGCUUGACUGCGACACCGACGGGUGGAGCAGGUACGAAAGUAGGACUAGUGAUCCGGUGGCAUAAAGUGGGAUUGCCAUCGCUCAACGGAUAAAAGCUACCCUGGGAUAACAUGCUUAUCACUCCCAAGAGUUCACAUCGACGGAGUGGUUUGGCACCUCGAUGUCGGCUCAUCGCAUCCUGGAGCUGGAGCAGGUUCCAAGGGUUGGGCUGUUCGCCCAUUAAAGCGGUACCGAGCUGGGUUCAGAACGUCGUGAGACAGUUCGGUCCCUAUCCGGCGCGGGCGCAGGAUAUCUGAGAGGAGCUGUCCUUAGUACGAGAGGACCGGGAUGGACCGUCCGCUGGUGGACCGGUUGUCAUGCCAAUGGCACGGCCGGGUAGCCAAGACGGGAAGGGAUAAACGCUGAAGGCAUCUAAGCGUGAAGCCCCCCUCAAGAUGAGAUAUCCAUACUCGAAAGAGUGAGAGACCCCUUAGAGACGAUGAGGUAGAUAGGGCAGAGAUGGAAGCACAGCGAUGUGUGGAGUUGACUGUUACUAAUCGGUCGAUAGCCAA